GCAGCUGCCAGAUCAUCAUCAGCCAUCACCUCCACAGGCAACUGAAGCAACUCCUCUUUCCUACAAUAAUUAAAUGGAAGAAAUAUGGGAAUGUAUAAGUAUGGAUACUUGGUGGAAAAUGGGACUCUUUGAAUCUCUAUAUGAAAAGGUGGUUUGGAAGAAAUCCUGUACUGGUGUGGCAAAGACAAAGAGGAAUACUGCUGUAACAAGUAGUGCGCCUGUUCCGACCAGUGUCUGCUUCAGCAUCUUGAUGACUGGUUUGACCUAGGAGGUUGCUGGUGGGACUCCUGGAGGCUGCAGUUUCUCUUCUACUUUUCUUCUGGAGGUCCCUCUCUGAUACACCUGACCCAUAAACUGGUUAGGUUUGUAUUAGGGCUUUCACGCAUCACAAAGGUUUGCAUUUGCAACUCACUCACCCUUGAGGGAUUAAAGCUGGCUGCUGCAAUUGGAAUUCCAAGAACUGUGAAAGUUGCCAACCAUAGACCACCGAGACGAA